AUCCCUGGCUUCUCAGACCAAUGUAGGCUCUCACUGCAGGGGCAGAGGAGGAGACCAGCCUGACAAAAAACCUCCUAGGACCCUGCCUUUACACUCUCGUGACUGGGAAAUAGAGAGUACCAGCAGUGAGUCAAAAUCGAGUUCUUCCAGCAAGUAUCGUCCCACAUGGAGACCCAAACGAGAAUCUCUGAAUAUUGACAGUAUCUUUAGUAAGGACAAAAGGAAGCACUGUGGCUAUACCCAGCUUAGCCCCUUUUCUGAGGAUUCAGCUAAAGAAUUUAUACCAGAUGAACCAAGCAAGCCACCUUCUUACGACAUUAAAUUUGGUGGACCAAGCCCCCAGUACAAGCGCUGGGGCCCAGCACGGCCAGGCUCUCACCUUUUAGAGCAGCACCCCCGACUAAUCCAGCGAAUGGAAUCUGGCUAUGAAAGCAGUGAGAGGAACAGCAGCAGCCCUGUCAGCCUGGAUGCAGCCCUGCCUGAGAGCUCAAAUGUCUACAGGUAUUGUUUGGCCUUUGAACAGCAACAUUGUCUCUUGCAGCAAUGUGAGCCACCUACUUGGGGCUUUCAGGCAUGGCUUAGACAAGUGGAGGGAUGGCCUUUGCUAUUAUCUCUAUGUGCUCUAUCAACUUCCUAUAAC
rnacentral:sRNA from 1 species